UCUCCCACAGGAUCUGAGAUGUGCUCCAACAACCAUCAUGAUCUUUCCAGUCAGGGAGAAGCAAACGGGAUUAACCAACUGCUUGUUUAUUGCCUACUGUUCAUGAGCAAGAGGUGAAGCAGCACAAGGUGUUCACCAGACACGGCUGCCCGAGCUUGGACUUCACAGCCUCCAGAACUGCGAGCCAAAAUAAACUUCUUUCCUUUAUAAAUUA